UGUAAAAUAAGCUAAACACUAAGCUUUUGGGUUCAUACCCCAAAUAUGAAUGAUUAUUCUUUUACAG
rnacentral:tRNA from 1 species